rnacentral:rRNA from 1 species
UACGUAGGGUGCUAGCGUUGUCCGGAUUUAUUGGGCGUAAAGGGCUCGUAGGCGGUCUGUCGCGUCCGUUGUGAAAACUCGAGGCUCAACCUCGGGCUUGCAGUGGAUACGGGCAGACUAGAGUGCGGUAGGGGAGACUGGAAUUCCUGGUGUAGCGGUGGAAUGCGCAGAUAUCAGGAGGAACACCGAUGGCGAAGGCAGGUCUCUGGGCCGCAACUGACGCUGAGGAGCGAAAGCAUGGGGAGCGAACAGG